UACGUAGGGUGCAAGCGUUAAUCGGAAUUACUGGGCGUAAAGCGUGCGCAGGCGGUGAUGUAAGACAGGUGUGAAAUCCCCGGGCUUAACCUGAGAACUGCAUUUGUGACUGCAUCGCUGGAGUGCGGCAGAGGGGGAUGGAAUUCCGCGUGUAGCAGUGAAAUGCGUAGAUAUGCGGAGGAACACCGAUGGCGAAGGCAAUCCCCUGGGCCUGCACUGACGCUCAUGCACGAAAGCGUGGGGAGCAAACAGG
rnacentral:rRNA from 1 species